rnacentral:rRNA from 1 species
UAGGGAAUCUUCCGCAAUGGACGCAAGUCUGACGGAGCAACGCCGCGUGAGUGAAGAAGGAUUUCGGUUCGUAAAACUCUGUUGUUAGAGAAGAACAGCGCAUAGAGUAACUGUUAUGCGUGUGACGGUAUCUAACCAGAAAGCCACGGCUAACUACGUGCCAGCAGCCGCGGUAAUACGUAGGUGGCAAGCGUUGUCCGGAUUUAUUGGGCGUAAAGGGAGCGCAGGCGGUCAAUUAAGUCUGAUGUGAAAGCCCCCGGCUCAACCGGGGAGGGUCAUUGGAAACUGGUUGACUUGAGUGCAGAAGAGGAGAGUGGAAUUCCAUGUGUAGCGGUGAAAUGCGUAGAUAUAUGGAGGAACACCAGUGGCGAAGGCGACUCUCUGGUCUGUAACUGACGCUGAGGCUCGAAAGCGUGGGGAGCGAACAGG